CCUACAGGUGGCUGCAGUGGGGAAUAUUGGACAAUGGGGGGAACCCUGAUCCAGCCAUGCCGCGUGUGUGAAGAAGGCCCUCGGGUUGUAAAGCACUUUCAGUGAGGAAGAACGCCUGGUGGUUAAUACCCAUCAGGAAAGACAUCACUCACAGAAGAAGCACCGGCUAACUCCGUGCCAGCAGCCGCGGUAAUACGGAGGGUGCGAGCGUUAAUCGGAAUUACUGGGCGUAAAGCGCGCGUAGGUGGCUUGAUAAGCCGGUUGUGAAAGCCCCGGGCUCAACCUGGGAACGGCAUCCGGAACUGUCAAGCUAGAGUGCAGGAGAGGAAGGUAGAAUUCCCGGUGUAGCGGUGAAAUGCGUAGAGAUCGGGAGGAAUACCAGUGGCGAAGGCGGCCUUCUGGACUGACACUGACACUGAGGUGCGAAAGCGUGGGUAGCAAACAGGAUUAGAUACCCCUGUAGUC
rnacentral:rRNA from 1 species